rnacentral:lncRNA from 1 species
CAGCCCCGGCCUCCAGCGAAGUCUUCCGCUCCGGCGUCAGGAUCCAGCGCACCUCCCCAGUACCCAGCGCACCUCCCCAGUACCCGGCUCGCUUCCCUGUUCUCCGGAACGGUGUCUUCCCGCUUCCUGGUCAUCAAUUCCGCACCCACCCUUCAAACAUCCAAUAGAUUCCUAGCCGGCCUCGGGUUAGCGCAGCAGUGCGCACCCAGCCCUGCGCAGGGCAUGAGCGUUAGAGGCGCACAGGAUCCCAGAAGACCCCUAACCUUUACUGUUAAGAUCCUAGCUCUACCGGUUUCUGCAGGGACAUGUACAAGAAACUUGGGAAAUACUGCACUGAUAGUUGCCAGGAGUCCUGUAUAUACAGGACGUAUUUAAUGAUUAUUGGCCUGCGUCCUUCGUUGACCUCGUCGGAAUGCCUUAAAUGUCCUGUAUUCAUCUUUUUACACUAAAUUGCAAUAAUUAGAGCUAUUUUUCUCCCACAGUAAUUGGUGCUAGAUCACUUAAAUUACAACACUGGCUGAAAAUCCUUCCUACACUAAUGAAGAUUUGGACAAUCCCUAUGGUGUCUCCUUCAGGUUUGGCUGAGGGAAGACCAGAAGGGAGUAGGAAUUUAAAGUGCUCGUCUUUCAUAUUCAAGAAAGGAAAAUACUUUUUUAGCUCAAGUCCGGAGUCGUGAACAAAUAACCACCAUUAUUUAGAGAUAACUUCUCGUCGGUGCAGCAGCUCUGAAAAUCAGCCAAUCAGCGAUAGCCUCACUCCGAGGAGAAUGUGCUGGCUCUGAUGUUCAGUGACAAGGGAACAGAGAGAGGUAGGAAGGCCUGAACCAGCCAAGAGACUUUACCUGAGACAAAGCAGCUGCCGUUUUAUGAGGACACUCAAGCAGCUCUAUGGAGAGGCCCACGUGGUGAGAAACUGAGGCCUCCUGCCAAAAACCAGCAUCAACUUGUCAGUCAUGUGACUGAACCAUCCUGGAAGCAGAUCUUCCCACUCCAGUGAACCCUGCAGUUGAUCACAGCCCCAGUGGAUACUUUGGCUGCAGAGAGACCAUGAUCUAGAACCAAUUAGCUAAGUUGCUCCUGAA